rnacentral:lncRNA from 1 species
UAAGGCCCAAUCGGCCUGGGUCCAAACUAAACAAAAAUAUGUCAGACCCAACAAAUAAGUGGCCCAAUACAGGCCCAAUAACCGAUUUGCAAACCCUAGCCCAGCAAAAAUUAAUUUGCUGAAACCCUAGCAGCCUCCUUGCCUCAGCGCCGCAAGCCCCAUCAGCCUCGACGCCUCCAGCAAGAGUCCAGACGCCGCACAAUUCGGAGAUCGUCCUCCCCACGCACGUCAUUCGCGCGCACGACGCCUGCAAAAAACAGAUUCAAAGAGUCCUGAAAGAAAAAACAACAAAGAAAACAAUUUGUAUUUAAUUUAUUUUCUUUCUUUCGGCCUAUAAAAGGCCUAUCAAGAUCUGUAAAAGGGGGGAUAGACACUAAGAAGAGAGAAAAUACAAGGGAGAAUAGAAACCAAAGCAGAAGGUGAUUUACCACUGUAGCGUUUUCUCUUGUUUUUAUUUCUACAAUUGAUUUUUUGUUAAUAUCUACUGUUUAUUCAAGGAAAAGAAAUAAAAGGGUAAGUUUACCUUAUAUUGGCGCCUUCGAUCCCUCAUCGCUCCGUUGCAAUCGGCGUUUGAGGGAGGUUUUGGCAUGGGAAACGGCGGCGCGAGGACGCUAGGGGUGAAACCCUAGCAGAGCAAAAGAGGGGUGUUUGUUUUUUUUCUUUUUUUCAUUCGGUUGUAAAUGAUUUUGAAAGAAAAUUUUGUUUCAAGUAACGCUACAAAAACGACGUCGUUUUUAAGGCCCUGACCCGCGCGGUGACCCUACCCGAAGGGGAGGAUCCGCGCGUCCUGACGUCAGAUGGGGAAUUUGUGCAUUUAACCCCUCCCUUUUGCAACGCAUGUCAAUUAAACCUUUUCCACUGGUUUUAAAAUUUGGGCCGCGUAUUCCAUUUUUAUUUCAAUUUGAUACCCCGUUGCGCAGCGUUUUGGAAGGGAAGGAAUUAUUUCCUUUUUAGUCCCCCAUUAUCGUACGCGUGUUCAAAUUUGGUUUUUUCUUACUUUAUUCAGUUUUUUUUAUUUUUUUAAUAUACUGUUACUCAUUUGUUAUUACUAUUAUCACUUAUUAUUAU